rnacentral:rRNA from 1 species
ACGUAGGGGGCAAGCGUUAUCCGGAUUCAUUGGGCGUAAAGCGCUCGUAGGCGGUCUGUUAGGUCGGGAGUUAAAUCCGGAGGCUCAACCUCCGUUCGCUCCCGAUACCGGCAGACUUGAGUUUGGUAGGGGAAGGUGGAAUUCCUAGUGUAGCGGUGGAAUGCGCAGAUAUUAGGAAGAACACCAGUGGCGAAGGCGGCCUUCUGGGCCAUAACUGACGCUGAGGAGCGAAAGCUAGGGGAGCAAACAG